rnacentral:rRNA from 1 species
UGGGGAAUUUUGGACAAUGGGCGAAAGCCUGAUCCAGCAAUGCCGCGUGUGUGAAGAAGGCCUUCGGGUUGUAAAGCACUUUUGUCCGGAAAGAAAUCCUUGGCUCUAAUACAGUCGGGGGAUGACGGUACCGGAAGAAUAAGCACCGGCUAACUACGUGCCAGCAGCCGCGGUAAUACGUAGGGUGUAAGCGUUAAUCGGAAUUACUGGGCGUAAAGCGUGCGCAGGCGGUUUGCUAAGACCGAUGUGAAAUCCCCGGGCUCAACCUGGGAACUGCAUUGGUGACUGGCAGGCUAGAGUAUGGCAGAGGGGGGUAGAAUUCCACGUGUAGCAGUGAAAUGCGUAGAGAUGUGGAGGAAUACCGAUGGCGAAGGCAGCCCCCUGGGCCAAUACUGACGCUCAUGCACGAAAAGCGUGGGGGAGCAAAACAGGAUUAGAUACCCUGGUAGUCCACGCCCUAAAACGAUGUCAACUAGUUGUUGGGGAUUCAUUUCCUUAGUAACGUAGCUAACGCGUGAAGUUGACCGCCUGGGGGAGUACGGUCGC